rnacentral:rRNA from 1 species
AGUGAACGCUGGCGGUAGGCCUAACACAUGCAAGUCGAACGGCAGCACAGGAGAGCUUGCUCUCUGGGUGGCGAGUGGCGGACGGGUGAGGAAUACAUCGGAAUCUACUUUUUCGUGGGGGAUAACGUAGGGAAACUUACGCUAAUACCGCAUACGACCUACGGGUGAAAGCAGGGGACCUUCGGGCCUUGCGCGAUUGAAUGAGCCUAUGUCGGAUUAGCUAGUUGGCGGGGUAAAGGCCCACCAAGGCGACGAUCCGUAGCUGGUCUGAGAGGAUGAUCAGCCACACUGGAACUGAGACACGGUCCAGACUCCUACGGGAGGCAGCAGUGGGGAAUAUUGGACAAUGGGCGCAAGCCUGAUCCAGCCAUACCGCGCGGGUGAAGAAGGCCUUCGGGUUGUAAAGCCCUUUUGUUGGGAAAGAAAUCCAGCCGGCUAAUACCUGGUUGGGAUGACGGUACCCAAAGAAUAAGCACCGGCUAACUUCGUGCCAGCCGCCGCAGUAA